AUUGAACGCUGGCGGCAGGCCUAACACAUGCAAGUCGAACGAGUGGCGGACGGGUGAGUAAUGUCUGGGAAACUGCCUGAUGGAGGGGGAUAACUACUGGAAACGGUAGCUAAUACCGCAUACCAUCAGAGGGGCCCAGAUGGGAUUAGGUAGUUGGUGGGGUAACGGCUCACCAAGGCGACGAUCCCUAGCUGGUCUGCGAGGAGGACCAGCCACACUGGAACUGAGACCAGGUCCAGACGCCUACGGGUGGCAGCAUUGGGGAAUAUUGCCCAAUUGGCGCAGGCCUGAUGCAGCCAUGCCGCUUGUGUGUAGAAGGCCUUCGGGUUGUAAAGUACUUUCAGCGGUGAGGCGUUACCCGCCGAAGACGCACCGGCUAACUCCGUGCCAGCAGCCGCGGUAAUAC
rnacentral:rRNA from 1 species